rnacentral:rRNA from 1 species
UACAGAGGGUGCAAGCGUUAAUCGGAAUUACUGGGCGUAAAGCGCGCGUAGGUGGUUCGUUAAGUUGGAUGUGAAAGCCCCGGGCUCAACCUGGGAACUGCAUUCAAAACUGACGAGCUAGAGUAUGGUAGAGGGUGGUGGAAUUUCCUGUGUAGCGGUGAAAUGCGUAGAUAUAGGAAGGAACACCAGUGGCGAAGGCGACCGCCUGGACUGAUACUGGCACUGAGGUGCGAAAGCGUGGGGAGCAAACAGG